GACGAACGCUGGCGGCGUGCUUAACACAUGCAAGUCGAACGGAAAGGCCCUGCUUUUGUGGGCUGCUCGAGUGGCGAACGGGUGGGUAACACGUGAGUAACCUGCCCUUGCCUUUUGGAUAACUUCAGGAAAUUGGGGCUAAUACCGGCUAGGAUCUCCUGCUGCAUGGUGGGGGCUGGAAAGUUUCGGCGGUUGGGGAUGGACUCGCGGCUUAUCAGCUUGUUGGUGGGGUAGUGGUUUACCAAGGUGUUGCCGGGUAGCCGGCCUGCGAGGGGGGCCGGCCAAAGUGGGACUGGUAUGAGGCUCAGAGUUGUACGGGAUGGAACGGUGAAGAAUAUAGCAGAAUGCGCGGAAGAGUAAUGUAGCAACGCCGAGUAUGGGAUGACGGAUGGCGGUUUGUAUUCCGAUGCGGUGUGUGACGAGGCGAGAGUGACGGUAAUGGGUGAAGAAGCACAGGCUAACUACGUG
rnacentral:rRNA from 1 species